UUUUAGAGAAUCAACUCGGUAUUUCAAUAACGAAAAGAAGAGUUCAUAACCCAACCUUAAUUCGUGAUCAAAAUGCCCAAAAUGACCGACGCCUCAAACCCGCCAAUUCUGAUUCACACCUGAUGACUUAGCGAAUAAUUUCUCUAACGAAAACACUUGGAGACUCAAAAUAAAAGACUAAGGCACCAGAAAAUAAACAACAGAACAAAAUUGGGAAAAGAGAGAAAAUGAAAACAAAAAAAACUAAAGAAAAAACAAAAAAAAUGUGGGAAUGUGUAAAACAAUUUGGGGUCCCCUCCUUUUUUCUCUUUCUCUCCCACCACUAAAAUAAAAAUAAACUAGAAAUAAAAUGAUAAACAAAAUCUUCUAUACUUAAAAACAAUACUAAAGCAAAAAAUUUUCCCCAAAAUGCACACAAGAGGACUCAAACCAAGGACCCAGAAACAAAC
rnacentral:lncRNA from 1 species